rnacentral:rRNA from 1 species
GAGUGCUUGCACUCAAUUGGAAAGAGGAGUGGCGGACGGGUGAGUAACACGUGGGUAACCUACCCAKCAGAGGGGGAUAACACUUGGAAACAGGUGCUAAUACCGCAUAACAGUUUAUGCCGCAUGGCAUAAGAGUGAAAGGCGCUUUCGGGUGUCGCUGAUGGAUGGACCCGCGGUGCAUUAGCUAGUUGGUGAGGUAACGGCUCACCAAGGCCACGAUGCAUAGCCGACCUGAGAGGGUGAUCGGCCACACUGGGACUGAGACACGGCCCAGACUCCUACGGGAGGCAGCAGUAGGGAAUCU